rnacentral:rRNA from 1 species
CUACGGGGCGCACCAGUAAGGAAUAUUGGUCAAUGGACGAAAGUCUGAACCAGCCAUGCCGCGUGAAGGAUGACGGCCCUAUGGGUUGUAAACUUCUUUUAUAUGGGAAGAAACCCCUCUACGUGUAGAGGGCUGACGGUACCAUACGAAUAAGCAUCGGCUAACUCCGUGCCAGCAGCCGCGGUAAUACGGAGGAUGCAAGCGUUAUCCGGAUUUAGUGGGUUUAAAGGGUGCGCAGGCGGAAAGAUAAGUCAGUGGUGAAAUCCUACGGCCUAACUGUAGAACUGCCAUUGAUACUGUCUUUCUUGAGUACAGUUGAAGUGGGCGGAAUGUGUCAUGUAGCGGUGAAAUGCAUAGAUAUGACACAGAACACCGAUAGCGAAGGCAGCUCACUAAACUGAAACUGACGCUCAUGCACGAAAGCGUGGGGAGCAAACAGGAUUAGAUACCCUCGUAGUC